rnacentral:rRNA from 1 species
UACGUAGGGGGCUAGCGUUGUCCGGAAUCAUUGGGGCGUAAAGAGCGUGUAGGCGGCCCGGUAAGUCCGCUGUGAAAGUCGGGGGCUCAACCCUCGGAUGCCGGUGGAUACUGUCGGGCUAGAGUACGGAAGAGGCGAGUGGAAUUCCGUGGUGGUAGCGGUGAAAUGCGCAGAUAUCAGGAGGAACACCGGUGGCGAAGGCGGGUCUCUGGGCCGAUACUGACGCUGAGGAGCGAAAGCGUGGGGAGCGAACAGG